UACGUAGGGGGCAAGCGUUGUCCGGAAUCAUUGGGCGUAAAGAGCGUGUAGGCGGUUCGGUAAGUCCGCUGUGAAAGUCGGGGGCUCAACCCUCGGAUGCCGGUGGAAACUGUCGGACUAGAGUACGGAAGAGGCGAGUGGAAUUCCUGGUGUAGCGGUGAAAUGCGCAGAUAUCAGGAGGAACACCGAUUGCGAAGGCAGCUCGCUGGGACGUUACUGACGCUGAGACGCGAAAGCGUGGGGAGCAAACAGG
rnacentral:rRNA from 1 species